UUCAGUUUGCAGAACUACCAUGAUAAAUAGACAAACUAUUUAUUGAUAGAGGGGAUUUGUUUUUAUGCAUUCAUAGUUAUUCCUGUUAUAGGCUGGUCCUCUUUUGAGGCUACUGAUUGCAUUAGGAAGAGGAUGUUUUCUUUUGAAAAGGUUAGAAAGAGGAUGUUGAACUAAACUUCCCUUAGUUCAUUCCUUAUAUUUUCUCAUGUUUCCUCGCAAUGGAAGGAGCACGAUAGCUUGUGGAUGGUGCUAUGGUGCAAGCGUGUAGUGGACUUGGAGGCCAGGAUUUUAGCUACAGGAAAAGAAUGAGG
rnacentral:lncRNA from 1 species